GUGGGGUAACGGCCUACCAAGGCAUCGACGGGUAGCUGGUCUGAGAGGACGAUCAGCCACACUGGGACUGAGACACGGCCCAGACUCCUACGGGAGGCAGCAGUAGGGAAUCUUGCACAAUGGGCGAAAGCCUGAUGCAGCAACGCCGCGUGGGGGAUGAAGGCUUUCGGGUCGUAAACCCCUUUCAGGAGGGACGAAAUUGACGGUACCUCCAGAAGAAGCUCCGGCCAACUACGUGCCAGCAGCCGCGGUAACACGUAGGGAGCAAGCGUUGUCCGGAUUUAUUGGGCGUAAAGAGCUCGUAGGUGGCUCAGUAAGUCGGGUGUGAAAACUCAGGGCUCAACCCUGAGACGCCACCCGAUACUGCUGUGGCUAGAGUCCGGUAGGGGAGCAUGGAAUUCCUGGUGUAGCGGUGAAAUGCGCAGAUAUCAGGAGGAACACCAGCGGCGAAGGCGGUGCUCUGGGCCGGUACUGACACUGAGGAGCGAAAGCAUGGGGAGCAAACAGGAUUAGAUACCCUGGUAGUCCACGCCGUAAACGAUGGGCACUAGGCGUUGGGAGGAUUGACCCUCUCAGUGCCGUAGCUAACGCGUUAAGUG
rnacentral:rRNA from 1 species